AUGGCGCCUAUGUUUUUUUUUCCUCCUUCCUUAUCUUUUUUUUUUUUUUUUAAACAACGUUUUGCAACCUACCUUGGUACCCUCACCCUCUCUCCCCACAACCGCUGCAGUGCAGGAUUUGAAGGACAGGCAGCCCCGCCAAUCAGCUGGUUGCACCAGGAAACUAGCCCCGCCCCCAUCCCCGCGUUAGGCCGAGGCGCGCUCGCAGGCGACCCAGACAGUCCCGGCCUUCGAGCACGCCCAGCGCCCGGACUGCGGCGUUUCCCCGCGAGCAUCCUGCAGUGCCUGCGAGCCGAGGAGGGUCCCCCGCGCAGGAAGGGGCGGAAACCCCAAACGGUUGACUGGCAGCUAAUCCCGUAGUGCCAGACGCGAGGCUUCCCGGGGACCCCCGUUCUGAGUCCGGAGCGGCCAUGACCCCCGCCAUCGUGACGCCCUUGGCGAACCCUCUUCUUCCGAGGUGCCUCAGGGUGGCAAAUCCGGGGACUCUAAGGUGGCAGGCUGGCUCGGAUGUCCCUCAGAAAUCCUUAUAAAAAUUUAGAUCUCCUCUCUAGGGCCUGUUCUAUCACCCUGAGGCCGAAACCCCAGCUCUUGUAUUUAUUGGAGGAGGAAAAGCCUGGACUUGAAACCUCCCUCCGAGGGGUCGACCUUACCUGCUAGGUAAGAUGCAGCCCAGCCCGCGCGCCCCUCCUCCCCAGGCCCCCCACUCGGG
rnacentral:lncRNA from 1 species